GAUUAAGUUAUUAAGGGCGCACGGUGGAUGCCUUGGCACUAGAAGCCGAUGAAGGACGUUACUAACGACGAUAUGCUUUGGGGAGCUGUAAGUAAGCUUUGAUCCAGAGAUUUCCGAAUGGGGAAACCCAGCAUGAGUUAUGUCAUGUUAUCGAUAUGUGAAUACAUAGCAUAUCAGAAGGUACACCCGGAGAACUGAAACAUCUUAGUACCCGGAGGAAGAGAAAGAAAAUUCGAUUCCCUUAGUAGCGGCGAGCGAAACGGGAAGAGCCCAAACCAACAAGCUUGCUUGUUGGGGUUGUAGGACACUCUAUACGGAGUUACAAAGGACGACAUUAGACGAAUCAUCUGGAAAGAUGAAUCAAAGAAGGUAA
rnacentral:rRNA from 1 species